AUUGAACGCUGGCGGCAGGCCUAACACAUGCAAGUCGAACGAGUGGCGGACGGGUGAGUAAUGUCUGGGAAACUGCCCGAUGGAGAGGGAUAACUACUGGAAACGGUAGCUAAUACCGCAUACCAUCGGAUGUGCCCCGAUGGGAUUAGCUUGUAGGUGAGGUAACUGCCCACCUAGGCGAAGAUCCCUAGCUGGUCUGAGAGGAUGACCAGCCAAACUGGACCUGAGACACGGUCCAGACUCCUGCGGGAGGCAGCAGUGGGGAAUAUUGCACAAUGGGCGAAAGCCUGAUGCAGCCGUGCCGCGUGUAUGAAGAAGGCCUUCGGGUUGUAAAGUACUUUUGGCGGGGAGGCGUUACCCGCAGAAGAAGCACCGGCUAACUCCGUGCCAGCAGCCGCGGUAAUAC
rnacentral:rRNA from 1 species